AUUUAAAUAGUUUAUUAAAAAUAAUAGUUUGUGGAACUAUAGAUGUAUGAUUUAUACUUUAAAUA
rnacentral:tRNA from 1 species